rnacentral:lncRNA from 1 species
CAAUAAACAUGUAGUUGGAAGCACCAAACUAUACACAAGAAUAAUAUUCACAAUUCACAACACUGAUAAUAAUAUUUAUUAUAUUCGUGCACUUUCUAUUUCAACCUCAUAUCUAAUCAUAAUGUACCGCAAGUGCACUGUUUAACACUAAACCAUUCUCAUGGUAUGCAUAUCUAUAUCUUCCAUAUUCUUUAUAGAUAUUGCAGUCCAGAAGUCAACGAUAAACCAUGAAUCAUGUUUUUUGCAAUGAUAAAACAAAGGAGAUAAAUACCAAGACUUAUGGAACCUCUUCUUUUCUUGCAAUGUUUUUGGGAUUCAUUCAUAUCAUCAUCUUGCCCAUGAUAUUUAGUUUAUUAUCAGAUAACUUUGCAUUUGUACAUAGUAUCCCUACAACUAACCAAGGUACAAAAACAAAAACAAAAACAAAAACAAAAACAAAAACAAAAAAGGAACAUUUAUACGUUUUAAGUUAUUCUCUCGUCGCCAAUAAUGUAUCUAUUUAGUCUAACAAUUAAUUUCACAAGGCAUUCUAACAAUUAAAAUGUAAUCAAUUUCAUAAUGACAUAUGUUGCUAACCAAUUAAUAUCAGUUAACAUCUUUAGUACAAAUUAAUAAUCAACUUUCUUAAACAACAACAAAAAUGAACAAAUUAAACCAAAAUAAGCUACAUGAAUAUACGACAGUCACAAAUUUUUUUUCCCAAACAACUAAGAACUCCCGAAAGCAAAACGCGGAACCCAAAUAUUAAUUCAACAUAUUCAGAACUUUUGACGUCCAAACUAAUGUAAAACUAGAAUGGACAAAUGAAUUAAUAAAAUAUAGAAUUGUUUCUGGCUAUUGGUGCAUAAUUGUUUUACGGAUUUAAUGAUAUAAACGAUAAUCAGGUUAACUCCAGUGAUCAAUUGAAUAUUCUCUCGGUCGACGUCUUUUUCAAGAUCAAAUUUCAAUGGGUAUAUUUUGAAGAAUGGCAUCGCUAAUUAUACAGGAAAAAAUCAAGGCCAUAUGCUUACACCAUAAAAUUUCUUCAAGGUGAUAUCGUCCCAAAAAACUCAAUUUCUGCAAUUUUGCUGUAAAUAGCUAUUACCAAAGAAAUGGGCAGGUUGUUGAAUCCCACAACAAGCUGCCCAUUUCUUUGAUAAUAGCUAUUCACAGCAAAACCUGCCCGUUUUAUGACUUGAGAUUCAUAAAAUAAGAAAAACUCACACGGUAAAAAAUUCAAAGUUGCGAAGCAUAAAUCUUCAGUGCCGAGAGGGGCGUAUGAGCGAUUGGGAUUAAGCAACGACGCGUCGACAGCUCUAUCACGGGUCCUCCAGCAGAACUCGAUGGCAACGAACCUGAUGGAGCCCGGACGCUCUUUAAUGCGUCCCUGUACUUCUUAUACAAGAUCGUCUGA